CGGGCAUUUCCCCGGGCAGAAUUGGGGCGAAGAGGGCUGAAGGAUGGGCUCCUGAGAAGCCUGCAGGAGUCACCAGCUCUCACCACGGUAAAUUCUAUUUUGAUCUUUGCCUUUCCCUCUUACCAAACUGUGUGUGCACGUUCACAAUCGCAAGGCCACAAGCAGAGACGUGAGCAGCAGAAUUGUAAAUGAAAAUGGAGAGAAUUGGCAUAGAGGUGGACGUCCUAAAUUCCUCAUCACGCCUCCACCGCCAACUCUGUGAGUCCCAAUAUUCUCAUCUCCAGAACCAGGAGAUCAGAACACUAUCCUUCAGUUCUUAAUUCUGAUUCUUUUCCACAAAAUUAAGCACUGACCAACAUAACAUGCCUACAGAUGUUACGACGGAAGAAAAGAUGGACAAAUGAUGCCCAAAACGGAAACCAACAAGUAAAUCCAGAGAAAAUAUAACGUGUUGUUUAUUCUCUUCCUUUUGGAUUGCUUUUCUGGGACUGUCUACUGGGAUAUGAAUAUUCGGAUCAAUAAACAGAGUCACUAAUCUACAGACAAUGAGCUUUUUAGAGCAGAAGUCAGCAGAGGUCCU